rnacentral:rRNA from 1 species
UACGGAGGGGGCUAGCGUUGUCCGGAAUCACUGGGCGUAAAGGGCGCGUAGGCGGCUCAUGAAGGCUGUGGUGAAAGUCCGGGGCUCAACCUCGGAUCGGCCGUGGCGACUCGUGGGCUGGAGCACUGUAGAGGCGGGUGGAAUUCCGGGUGUAGCGGUGGAAUGCGUAGAGAUCCGGAAGAACACCGGUGGCGAAGGCGGCCUGCUGGGCAGUUGCUGACACUGAGGCGCGACAGCGUGGGGAGCAAACAGG